rnacentral:tRNA from 1 species
UGGGCGAUUAGCUCAGUUGGGAGAGCACCUGCCUUACAAGCAGGGGGUCACUGGUUCGAACCCGGUUCGCCCAC